AAUGUACGACGCCAUUGACUUUUUAUCCAACGUUUGACCAUUCGUCUUAUUCAAAAAAUUUAUGUAACUAUCAUUUAUUUCAUUGUGACUUGAUUCGUCAUCAAAUAUUCUUUAAGCUGGACAUAAAUAUUUUUAUAUUUACACAAAAUUUUUGAAUAAAACGAAUGGUCAAACGUUGAUCAAAAAGUUAACGGCGUCAUACAUU
rnacentral:pre_miRNA from 1 species